CGCUAGGGAUAUUAAGUUGUCCCCGUAUAUCGUGAGAUAUACUUAAUUAAUAGGGUUAAUUACAAAGAUAUCUUAUUUUCAUAAGACAAUUUGUAGCGAAGUAUAUAUUAGUAUUUAUAUAUAUAUAAACGUUCAACGACUAAAAGAUGAGUUUACUAACAAUAAUUCUUUCAUGAAAGCCCUACACCUAAUUUAAUUUUAGGUGAUGACAUAGUCUAAUCUAUAUAGUGAUAUAUAG
rnacentral:ncRNA from 1 species